rnacentral:lncRNA from 1 species
GGUUAACCCGUUGCCUAGGCGCUCGGUACAAGCUACUGCGAGCAGCUGCAACAAAACACUUGGUAGGCCUCAGGAGAUAAGAUACUCUACUGUUGCAUCAAUAUUUGUAAACAGACAGACAUCAUUAACGAUUCCAAACCGAUUUUGAAGGACAACGACAAUCGUAAUUUGUUUUAUUUUUAACAGGCGUCUGGAGGAUGUGAAUAGAAGCUCGUGCGUAGUACCUGCGAACUAACGUUAGCCCGCUAGCCAAAGUUAGCGGACUGGACUGUGCUAGGGUUAGGAAACUUUUUAUAUUGCAGUAAAAAAGCCUGUUGAGCCCGUAGCAACAACAUUCUUGUCAAAUACACCCUGAUGAUUAGUCCAGAGACUGACAUGGGCGGAGGCAAAUGCUGGAAACCACAAUCUAAACUUUGUUCCCAUAAAAACGCUCGGCUAAUUUGCAUGUGAUGCACGGACUCCAGUUGAGCUGUACUCGGCCAUGGAAAAAAGAGAGGAAAAGGAGCUGGACGAGCUCACCCUCCGCUUGCAGAGGGACGGUGUGUCUCCUGAGGCUCCAGCAGAGGAGCGUGAGCUGCACCUGUGGCGUUUGCUCCAGCGUAGCGAGGGCAGCCUGACCGCAGUCACCGAAGACCUGCAGACUUUACGCACACAGCAGGCCAGCGAGAUGAGAGAGGUGAGCCAGCAGAUGGCAGGCCGGGCAUCCUCCCACCCUAAAGAAUAGCUAAUGAUGGUCUCCCUCAUCAACACUGUAACAUGACCACACUGUUUCCUGACCAAAACACACUGCUUCUGUAGCUAAUGCUUUUGCUGUGCUGUGUGGUUGUUUGAUGGGUUUUUUAAAGGUGGAAAAUUACGUGGAGCAUAUUCGAAACAUGUUGGAGGAGCGGGAAUCUCUUACAGCGGCGUGACAGCGAACAGCUCCGUGCUGAGCUCGCCCUAAUGAAACACCAACAGGGUGAGUUUGAACUCGUAUUGGUUUUAACAUAAAUAAAAUAGAUUGUGGUCUGAGUUUGGUCAGUGAGUAGUUUGGUUGCAUGCUGCUCAUAUUAUUUGUGUACUAAAUAUAAGUAUGCAUACAGUAUUCUGCAGUGUACACAGUAUGUAAAUGUUCUGUAUGCAGAGAACUCAUAUAUCAGCUACUACAUUGUCAAAUGUACAGUAUAUUAUAGAGCGUGCUCUGUAGAGUACUGUAUCCCACAAUGCAAUGUGUUUGGCUGGACCUGGAAGAAAUAUCAGCCACAAUUUUCUUCUCUCAUUUGAUCUGACAUCCAAGUGUUAAGAUGUUUUUACCUGUAUUCUUUUAAUAUUAUUUACAGAAUAAUAGUAGUAUUUAUAUUGUUUAUUAAUAUAUUAAAGUUAUUUAUUAAUAUUUUGAAUUUGCUUUUAUUUUUAUAUUUUCAUUUUAACUUUAGUUUGUUUAAAUAAUUUUAAGUUCUCUUGUCAUUUUUAUUAAUUUCUUCCCAUUUGUAUUUUCUUUUUAGUUUUUUUUAAAUUGAUUUUUAUUUCAGUUUUAGUUUUUUGUAGUAUUUCAACUUCAACAAUUCCUGUUCACACCAAGAACAAUAACUAUAAAAAUAACUAUAACAAUAACUACAGCAUAUUAGUGAAUACAGCAACAGACAUUAAUGUUCUGAUUAUUUAACACACUGCAGUAAAGUUGUCUGUUGCUUUAAAUGCCUACGCUUUUAAAUAUCGGGGGAUUCCGAUUGGUUGUGAAUUUUUUUGUUAUUCAUUAGCUGAAAAAAAAAAAUCAUUGUUAAUUUGUUUCAGUAUAAUUAUAGUUAUGGUAUGCACUUUCCUGUUAUUGUGAUAGUUAUCAACUUUGGUUUGAACAGGCCUUUAAACUUAAUUUAUUUCAGUUAUUAGCAGUAUUUCUCAUUUUCAUUUUCAUUUUAAUUUAAUUUUUUUUUUUUUAGUUUUUCUAUUCUUAUUUUCUUAAUUUUAAUUUUUUAAUUUUUUUUUUUAGUUUUCUAUUGUAUUAUUUAGUUUGUUUGUUUGUUUUUUUUUUUUUACUUUUUCUAAAUGUAAUUGCAUUUAUUCUUAUUAUUAUUAUUAUACUUAGAAUUAGACAAAAAAAAAGCAAAAUAAUUAUAUUUCUGAGGUGAUAAAAAAUAGUUUGUGGUAUUUAGUGCAUACUGCACUGUAUGCAAUAUGUAGUACACUAGUAUUACGUUAAGAGCACAGUCCUAGCAUUCUGCACAGUGUCCUCAUAGUCCAGUAAGUGGUCUUUAGUCAUGUUUGUAUGUGUCAGACUCCCAGUGUAAAGAGGUGGUGGAGAUGCUGGAGCAGGAGGGUCUAGCAGAGAUCAGUCAGAGCAGUGCCAGUGAGCAGGUGGCCUAUCUGCUGGUGGAGAGAGUCACUCUGCUUGAGAGACUGGAGGCUGCGGAAAGAAAACUGGACACCCAGACCCUAACUGGCAACCUCAGAGAGGUGCAUUUGCAGGUACUAUACGAAAUACAACUUCAUAUCAGUUUUCAUAAAAGUGUGGCUCAUUAGUUUUGUGGUCAUUUUAAUAUCUCCUCUCUUAUGGAAAUCAGGAAGAGCUGGAUCAUAUGCGUCACACGUUGGAAGAUGAACUCAGGCAGACAUGAAGAAGGUGAGAAGAUCUCAUUGUCACGUAAGAAGGAAGCAGCUUCAGAAGCAGCAUGUUGAAGUCAUAUCCCAUUCAUCUAUAUUUAAGUGUUUCGUUGUCCAUCUCUUGAUAUGUUCUGCAUCAUAAUUUCUCCUGAUUCUUUGUUCCUCCCUUAAAUGGACAGGAAUCAUCAGUUCAAAGUCCUUGGAGGAAGUUCUUUGGUGUGCGCAAGGCUACAUUAAGAGCACAGAACCUUCCUGUAGGUUUCCAUACAUGUCAUAACAAAGGCAUGACAGAAAUGUAAAUCAAGAGAGGUGGAACCUUCCAUAUUGUCCUAGACAGGAUGAUCCACUUAAGCAGAUUAGGGCAGCUCCUCGUGAAAUCAUGCAUGCCUUGGUUGAACACAAAGCAGGGAAUAACGAUAUCUUCUCAUAUGCUGAGCUUAGCAUGAUCACAUUAACUUCUCUUAUUUUCACUAUGGACCCUAACAGCACUAUAGACCCCUUUCAUUCAGGGUGGUUACUAACCAGAGGCUGCUUGUCCCCUUGAUACAGUUAUUUCUGAUGGUUAUAAGGGAGCAGGUGCAUAUUAAACUCUGUUCACACUGGAACACGAUCCACAUUCAGCUUCACUUGUGUUCUGUGGCUUAUGCAUGUUAAAAACGCAUAGAUGCUGACAUGCUCCUUGCUCGUCCAGCCAGUGAAACCAGGUUCAUGUCUCACUGAAAGCUCUUUCCCCUGUAGGGCCACAGUGAAGAACUCAAUAGAGAACGCAUAGAGCGCCAGAGGCUGGAGAGGGAUCUGGAAGAGGCAUCGAGUCGUCUUGCUAUGGCACAUAAAGAGAUUCGUCACCUGACGGAUGAACUAGAUCUCGCUCGUAAGGUCCAAAACUCGUGUGGUAAGUAAAUAACCAAUUAUUAGUGGUGCUGUGGUAGUAAAAUUCUGGCUGAUGUCAGUAAGCUGAUUAUAAUUAUUUUCAUGUUAUGGCAGAUAACUGAUAAAUGACUGAGAAUAAAAUUCUGUGGUAUACUUCUAUACUAUUGUAGCCUACAUAUAGUGCCAUUCAAAAGUUUGGGGUUUUGGGUACAAAUUGUUUUUUUUUCUUUUUUGAAGUCUCUUAAGGAAGCAUUUUUAAAAAUCUAAAAUAUAGAUAAAAUAGUAAUAUUGUGAAAUAUUAUUACAAUUUGUAAUAAUAAAAUAAAAUGUAAUUUAUUCCUGUGAUUGCAAAGCUGAAUUUUCAGAAGUCCAUUGCUCCAGUCUUCAGUGUCACAUGAU